AUGACCAAAUCAUCCGUGCAGGGCCUCAGCAAAUCCUCCCUCAACAUUGUGGAUAAUGAAGUUGAUAUGCUCAGCAAGUUGCCUGAUGACAUUUUGCUCAACAUUGUGGAGCGACUUGAUAUUGCUGAUGCCACACGAACCACCAUCCUAUCCAGACGUUGGAAGCAGAUCCCUGCGAUACUCUCAAAGGUUGUUAUAAUGGUUGGUUCUUUUCAGCCCAAGCACGAAGGGAGGAAGUUAACCUCAGAUGAUAUACUUCAGGCCAAUACUGCCAUGCUGGAAGCAACCAGGGGCAUACUUGAAAGGAGGGCGGGAAAUCCAUACAGUAUUCACCUGUUGCGCAUGGAAUUCUACUUGGGAGAUGAGUCCAUUUUCAUUGGCCAGACUGUUGCCAACACCAUAGCAACACAAAAGGUUGCUUCAGUUGAGUUUAUAAUCUUAACGAAGUUGCGCAAUGUUUUUACCAAUAAUGAGCUGCUCACUUAUGGGAGUCAGUUCAUGUCAUUCUUUGAUUCUUGUCCAGUCACAUUUGGUGGUCUUGCACGCCUCACACUAGAGAAUUUGAGGUUAGGCGAAUCAGGCUUUCCGAAAAUUUUCAGUAUAUGCAAGCAAUUGGAGUUCCUCCGCCUCUACCACUGUGAUAUGGGCAUUGAGUCUUUGCUGGAAGUGGAGCACCCACAGCUCAGUGAACUAGUGAUUGCCUGCAGUAGGAUUAUUAAGAGGAUUGAUCUAAAGUGGGUACCAAAACUCAUAGUACUGAAAGUUAAUGUAUUUAGAUCUCAAGAUGACCCCUUCUGUCUUGGCUAUGCCCCUCUGCUCCAGACUGUCAGCAUCAUUAAUACUGGUUUUUCUUGGCACAAGAUGCUCAAGUUAAGUGAGUUGCUUGGUAAAACAGCAAUAAGCAAUCUGCAUUUGAACUUCAAAAGCGAGAAGAUUUGGGUCAAACCGGAAGGUCGAAGACAAUUGUUACCGGUGUUCCACAAACUAAGGCGUGUGAAUUUGUAUAACAUUUUUGAAGGAUGCGAUCUGACUUGGAUAAUGUUCAUACUCCAAGGGGCACCCAGCCUUAAGGAACUAUGCAUCGUGGUGCGGGAUCAUUUAUGUGAAAUGGUAACGGGGGAGCAGAGAAAACUGUAUGCAUUUAGCGAGGAGAAGGACAAGGGAGUAGAGUGGGAACCAUCCGCAUCUGAUUUCAAGCAUCGCAACCUUGCUGAGGUCAGAAUCUUUGGGAGGUUUCUAGCAUAUGACAACAUUGUGCGCUUUGUCCGGAAUGUAAUGGAAGCAGCGGUGAGUCUGGAGGGCAUAAAACUUUAUAAGAGUCUAGUGUGUCAGAAUUGCAAGCAAACGGUUCAGAAGUGGACAUUGAAGGAGAAGGUGUCGCUCACCCACAAGCUCAAUGUGGGGAUGCUGUCUUCGGCCGUCCGGAUUCAGUUCCCCAAUUUAGAGCAUGUUGCUACUUGGUCAACAUACUGCUCUUGA
rnacentral:rRNA from 1 species